rnacentral:rRNA from 1 species
GAUGAACGCUAGCGGCAGGCCUAACACAUGCAAGUCGAGGGGCAUCAUGGCGUAGCAAUACGCUGAUGGCGACCGGCGCACGGGCGCGUAACGCGUAUGGAACCUACCCACCGCAGGGGGAUAACCCGCCGAAAGGCGGACUAAUACCCCAUGGUUCCCCGACCCUGCCUGGGGUUGGGGGUAAAGCCUACGGGCGGCGGUGGAUGGCCCUGCGUGCCAUUAGCUGGCUGGAGGGGUAACGGCCCGCCAAGGCGACGAUGGCUAGGGGGUCUGAGAGGACGAUCCCCCACACUGGUACUGAGACACGGACCAGACUCCUACGGGAGGCAGCAGUGAGGAAUAUUGGUCAAUGGGCGGAAGCCUGAACCAGCCAUGCCGCGUGCAGGAUGACGGCCCUACGGGUUGUAAACUGCUUUUCCCCGGGGGCGAAUAACCCCCUCGCGAGGGGGGACUGGCCGGUACCGGGGAACUAAGGGAUCGGCUAACGUCCGUAG